GGCCGUCUAGCUCAGUUCGUUAGAGCGUCGUGCUAAUAUGUCACAGACAUCAUAUCAUUUACGCGAAGGUCUUGGGUUCGACCCCCACGAUGGCCA